UAGCAUAUCAAUAAGCGGAGGAAAAGAAACUAACAAGGAUUCCCCUAGUAACUGCGAGUGAAGCGGGAAAAGCUCAAAUUUAAAAGCUGACGGUCUUUGGCCGUCCGCAUUGUAAUCUAGAGAAGUGUUACCCGCGUUGGACCGUGUACAAGUCUCCUGGAAUGGAGCAUCAUAGAGGGUGACAAUCCCGUCUUUGACACGGACUCCCAAGGCUUUGUGGUGCGCUCUCAAAGAGUCGAGUUGUUUGGGAAUGCAGCUCAAAAUGGGUGGUAAAUUCCAUCUAAAGCUAAAUAUUGGCGAGAGACCGAUAGCGAACAAGUACCGUGAGGGAAAGAUGAAAAGAACUUUGGAAAGAGAGUUAAACAGUACGUGAAAUUGCUGAAAGGGAAACGCUUGAAGUCAGUCGCGUCGUCCGGAGAUCAACCUUGCUUUUGCUGGGCGUACUCUCUGGUUGACGGGCCAGCAUCAGUUUUGGCCACUGGAAAAGGGCGGAAGGAAUGUGGCAUCUUCGGAUGUGUUAUAGCCUUCCGUCGUAUACAGUGGCUGGGACUGAGGAACUCAGCACGCCGCAAGGCCGGGAUUUUAUCCACGUUCGUGCUUAGGAUGCUGGCAUAAUGGCUUUAAUCGACCCGUCUUGAAACACGGACCAAGGAGUCUAACAUACCUGCGAGUGUUUGGGUGGAAAACCCGAGCGCCUAAUUAAAGUGAAAGUUGAGAUCCCUGUCGUGGGGAGCAUCGACGCCCGGACCAGACCUUUUGUGACGGAUCUGCGGUAGAGCAUGUAUGUUGGGACCCGAAAGAUGGUGAACUAUGCCUGAAUAGGGUGAAGCCAGAGGAAACUCUGGUGGAGGCUCGUAGCGAUUCUGACGUGCAAAUCGAUCGUCAAAUUUGGGUAUAGGGGCGAAAGACUAAUCGAACCAUCUAGUAGCUGGUUCCUGCCGAA
rnacentral:rRNA from 1 species